GGCGAACGCUGGCGGCGUGCUUAACACAUGCAAGUCGAACGGAAAGGCCCUGCUUUUGUGGGGUGCUCGAGUGGCGAACGGGUGAGUAACACGUGAGUAACCUGCCCUUGACUUUGGGAUAACUUCAGGGAACUGGGGCUAAUAUCGGAUAUGAGCUCCUGCUGCAUGGUGGGGGUUGGAGAGUUUCGGCGGUUUGGGAUGGACUCGCGGCCUAUCAGCUUGUUGGUGGGGUAGUGGGUUACCAAGGCUUUGACGGGUAGCCGGCCUGAGAGGGUGACCGGCCACAUUGGGACUGAGAUAGGGCCCAGACUCCAACGGGAGGCAGCAGUGGGGAAUAUUGCACAAUGGGCGGAAGCCGGAUACAGCAACGCCGCGUGCGGGAUGACGGCCUUCGGGUUGUAACCCGCGUGCGCCUGUGACGAAGAGUGAGUGACGGUAAUGGGUAAAGAAGCAACGGCUAACUACGUG
rnacentral:rRNA from 1 species